rnacentral:rRNA from 1 species
AGAACGAACGCUGGCGGCAUGCCUAACACAUGCAAGUCGAACGAGAUCCUUCGGGGUCUAGUGGCGCACGGGUGCGUAACGCGUGGGAAUCUGCCCUUAGGUACGGAAUAACUCAGGGAAACUUGUGCUAAUACCGUAUGAUGUCUUCGGACCAAAGAUUUAUCGCCUAGGGAUGAGCCCGCGUAGGAUUAGCUAGUUGGUGGGGUAAAGGCCUACCAAGGCUACGAUCCUUAGCUGGUCUGAGAGGAUGAUCAGCCACACUGGGACUGAGACACGGCCCAGACUCCUACGGGAGGCAGCAGUGGGGAAUAUUGGACAAUGGGCGAAAGCCUGAUCCAGCAAUGCCGCGUGAGUGAAGAAGGCCUUCGGGUUGUAAAGCUCUUUUACCCGGGAAGAUAAUGACUGUACCGGGAGAAUAAGCCCGGCUAACUCCGUGCCAGCAGCCGC